rnacentral:lncRNA from 13 species
GGGUGCCAGAGCAGGUUCCUGGAUGCCAUCACGGGGCUGGCAGUGCCAAGGUGGACACAGUUUUAGGUUCACAGAAGAAUGGAGUGCACGGAAAGCUCCCAAGUGCCUUUUCCCGAUUACUGCAGCCUCCAGUUGGUGGGGUGCGUUGGUUAUCACGGAUGAGUUGAUGCUGAUACACAGCAUGAUGCCUGCAGGUCGGACGUCGCUCUUGAUGCUGCACGUUCUGUGGGUUUGAACGACUCUGUGAAGUCCUGUACCCACCAUCACUUCUGCACCACAGGGAAGAUUUCCACCGCCCUGAACACCCUGCCCUUGCUUCCCUCCCACGAACUCCUGGAAACCUCUGAUCUUUUCACUGUGUCCAUAGUUUUGCCUUUACUACAAUGCGGUGUUUGGGAUCGCCCAGCAUGUGGCGUUUUUGGAUUGGCUCCUUCCAAUUAGCAACAGCAUUUUUCCCUGUGACUUCUCAUGGCUUGAAGGCUCAUUUUUUUUUUAACACUCAAUAUUAUUCAUUGUUCAGAUGAAGCAGUCACCACCCGAAGCACUUCCCGGCUGCUUCCAAGUGCUGGUAAAAUGACGAAUAAAGCUG